ensembl:lncRNA
GCGAGGAUGAAAGGGUCUGAAGUUGAGCAGGCGAUGGUGGAGGUGUCCCAGAGAGGAAGACUGGAGGUGGGGAGUCUGAGCCUGCAGGACGGGGAGGGGCGCAGGCAUGGUCGGCAGGCUGCAGGGAGGGGUGCAGGCGUGGUCGGCAGGAAACUACCUGAAGCCCCGGGAACUGAUGCAGCCAAUCAAGAUCCGUCGAAAGAAGCGAGGGCAGAGCGAGGGGUAGGAGAUCACUGGUGUGGGGAGAGGGGUGGAGCCUCGCUGCAGGGCAGAAGAGGAGGGAGGGGCCAACAGAAUGCAUGGCAGCAGCUUACCCCGUCCUCUGCCUCAGGAUGGCUUCCCAGUGAUAAAGUGGCAGAGAGGUCAGGUCAAACCCAUCCCCUUCCAUUUCCUACCCAUGUAAUUCUACUAGGCUCUGACCUACAAACCAUCACCAUUCAACCCCGCCCCACCUCCAUCCCCACCUCGACCCCCCUUUCCUCACGUCACGGCCCCUUUCCUGGCCCCCACCCAGGCCUUCCUACACCCUGCCCCUUUCCCCUGUGGUGCCCCCCCACACACACCUCUAAUCCUGGGCAGAGUAACACACAACUUGCCCAGGUAUACACGCCUCAACCAGAACACAGCAACAAACCUCUAACCCUGGGCAGAGUAACACACACCUGGCCCAGGUAUACACACCUCAACCAGAACACAGCAACAAACCUCUAACCCUGGGCAGAGUAACACACACCUGGCCCAGGUAUACACACCUCAACCAGAACACAGCAACAAACCUCUAACCCUGGGCAGAGUAACACACCUGGCCCAGGUAUACACGCCUCAACCAGAACACAGCAACAAACCUCUAACCCUGGGCAGAGUAACACACACCUGGCCCAGGUAUACACACCUCAACCAGAACACAGCAACAAACCUCUAACCCUGGGCAGAGUAACACACACCUGGCCCAGGUAUACACGCCUCAACCAGAACACAGCAACACACCUCUAACCCUUAGACUGGAGAAGAAAGACUAAGGCGUUACCAGGGGUGGAGUCUCGAAGGGCAACGGCCCAAUCAGACCAAAGCCCGGCCAGCAGCAGAGUCUGACACUACCCAGAAAUCCCCACCCCUACCCAAUCCCCCAAUCAGAACCCCCGAGAAGCUCAGACGUGAGAGUGCUAAGCCAAUCAGACAGAGCGAGAAGAAUGUGAGGGGACUGUCUGGGGCAGUGGCUAUUGUGAAGAGAGAGAGAGGCAGACCGAAGGUUACUAGCUCUCCAGCUACACCUGUACAGACCAGCCUUGCAGAACAGAUCAGCCUAGAGGGAGAAACAAGGAGGAGGAAGAAAAAGAGGAGAGUAGAAGCCUCAGCUGGGGUGGGAGAAAGGACCAGAGCCAGGGAGGACAAGCAAGAAACAGAGCCAGCGAGGACAAGCGAGAAACAGAGCCAGCGAGGACAAGCGAGAAACAGAGCCAGCGAGGACAAGCGAGAAACAGAGCCAGCGAGGACAAGCGAGAAACAGAGCCAGCGAGGACAAGCGAGAAACAGAGCCAGCGAGGACAAGCGAGAAACAGAGCCAGCGAGGACAAGCGAGAAACAGAGCCAGCGAGGACAAGCGAGAAACAGAGCCAGCAAGGAGGAGAGUGGAGGAGGAGAUGACGAAGGGAGGGGAGGAGAGAGAGCCAGCGAGGACAAGUCCAGAAGUAGAGCUAGUCCCGCCGGCCCAUACGCUCACAGGUCCAGAACCCCCAGCCUGUUGAGUAGGUACACCCCGAGGACAGAGAGGAGUCUGGGAAGGAAGUGACCACAGAGGAGGAGGAUGUCGAUGUCACUCAGGUAACUGCCUCCUCAACCUUCCAGAAAAACAGGGUGGUCCUGCAGACACAGCUGAGAGAGAGAUGGAGAGGGGGAACGAGAGGGACAAGGAGAGGAAACAGGAUGGACCGAGCUCAAACCACGAAGGACCGAUCAUACAGAAGAGAGGGAGAAAUGUAUGUAUGGAUGAAGAGAUGGAGAAAAGGGAAGAAGAAAUGGAUGUGGAGGACAUCGGAGCGAUUGAAGAGCAUCUAGAAGAAUGGAUGACAGACAGCGCAGAUAAACAGACAACAGAACUCCACAACCCAGCAAUCCAAAUAGCAGAGUGGAAGGUCCCAGUUCAGAUGCAUUCUGGGAUAGUAAAGCCUCCAGUCUCCCAUCCUUUGAUGUCCACAACAGGUGGACAUCGAAGGGUCAACAGGAAGCUGGGAGCAAGAGGAAGUGGAUGUGUUUGGGGGCUUUAGCGGAGCUUGGUUCAGAGGAAGAUAUCAAUGUCAUUGGAGAAGAGUUGGACCCACGCCCCUUCUAUCGGAUCUGUCAUCUCUGCUCUGACUGAGGGGACUGCAGACACACGGUAGCCUACAUGAUCAAGACUGAUCAGUCAGAUUAUCACACUCAACUCUAAUCAGAGUUUUUUUUUUUUUUUUUUUUUACUUCUACAGUAUUAACAUGCCCGUCCUAUCCCUGCUUCCCUACAGAGUGACCAACCUGCUUCUCCCUCCCUGCUAGGUGACAGGAGGUAUGGACAAAUCUCCAAUUACAAACUGAGAGGGCUACCACAUAGACAGCCAUUGCAAAACAACGAGGAAUGUACAGCUUUCUGCUUGAUGGAGAAGCAGGAAUGUUUACAUAAAAGAGGAUUUGGGUGUUUGUGAAAGUUGGGUGAUUGAGUUCAUCCAAUUUACCAAUUGUUAAACAAAAGAGGACGAAUGGAGGUAAAAAAAAUGUUUUUUAAAUAAGAGGAAGUAUUUGAUACGUUGCUGUACCUAUUUCUACCUCACCCAGCUUAUAGGGCUCUGUGCAUGAGUUCUAGUUUUCAGCACAUAGAUUGUCAGUUUUGAAUGUGUGUGUCAGUUCUGUUUCUUUGUCUACACCUCACUGCCCAGACCUUUUAACACAUCAUUGUGUUUAGGUUUUUAAUGACCCGGGUAGAAAAACACAAGCUUUGCUAGCCUCUUGUAGAGAGGAGUUUGGGUUCAUAUAGCAAAUGUUGUUUUUUUGGUUAGUUGCCACCAAAUCGGGUUUUACACGGCUGUUAGUUUAGUUUCGCAGGAAUUGAGGGCUCAGGUUGGUUGAGUGUCAAUCAUCACAGGCCUACCAUCAUCCGAUUCUGCUUCUGACUGUUCUAGAAUGAAAUCACUUCGCCUCAUGGGUCUUGUUGUCAUCAUUGUUCUUGCUGUUGCUUCUCAUUAUUACUGUUCUCCCCAGCAGUUUGACUGUUUUCAGUUUUAUAACCCGAUUACGAGAUUAAAGAUGUUCUUAAUA